GGCCGCCGCCCGCCCCGCCCCGGCUCCCCCAGCGCGGAGCCGGCCGGGCCGCCUAAGUUUGCGAGCCGGCCUCGCGGGUGGGAUGCGGGGUGAAGAGAGGAGGAAAGGGGGAGCGGCGCGAGGCGCGGGAUUGACUCAGCACCAGAGAUUGUUGGACAAGCUGAGACAAGAGUUAAUUUUCCUGUGGUUUUUCCUGGUGUUUAACUCUGUGCAAAGCAGAUGCAAAGCCAGUGGAGAACGACUACAGGAAGAUAGGAAAAUAAAGACUGCUAAGGAAAUCCUGCCAACUUCAUUAUACCGCCCUACUGCUAGUAAGACCACUAGAUUUGAAGUCCCGUCUAGAGCAGCACAAAUUCUUCUCAUCGACACAGUAGAAUGCAAUCAUAGUCGCUAAUUCUACUCAAGACAGGAUUUCCAAGAGGUAUACAGUAAAAGACCACGAACUUAAAUACAGAAGUUUCCAUAUCCAUAGAUAAAUAUCUCUAUGCGUGCAAUUGAAAAUAUAUGAAUUAAAAUGAUACACGCUAUAGUUCUCACGUGAUGUUAAUUUCUGUGCCUUAUCAAAUUUAUUUACAAUUUUUACACGUAUAGAUUGAAGCUUAACAUGUAGGAACUCAGAUUGUAUGCGAAUGUAUUUUUCCAUGUUACUGCAAAUUCUUUUCUAAUUAGCUGGUUGAUCCCAAGAAAUCCACAAUCCUUAAACUGAAAAUUACCGUUCAAAUGCUCUGCUAUGUGAAGGACAGGUCUCAAUUCUGCUCCUUCAGCUUCAGUGACAGCUGAUUUGUCCACUGCGCAAUGCUCUUCAAAUUCUCCUUUUCUGUAUGCGGGGUCUAAGGAGAGAAGGUUAAUAUAUUUUUCUGCAAUAAGAUUAGAUUUGGCUUGCAAGCGAUGUGCUGAGAUAGGCCACAUUUUAAAUAUUUGUAAAUGGUUUGACUUUUGGUUUAAUUCAGCUGUCUCUGACUUUCUGAGUAUGUUCCUCUGCUAAAAAUGGGGUGGGGAGAGAGGAACAGUUCAACUGUGAGCUAUUCUUCAGAAAACUGGAUGUUUUGCCAUCCCACCAAUGUCAUCUGGCAUUAAUUAACAUAGCAUCUUGCUAAUUACAUUGUCAGCAUACAGCCACUAAAUUCAAAUACAAAGAGAAUUGUUAAAAUGUCCCGAUUUAACUCUGGUAUUUCUUUUAAAGCAUCAUUCUUCAAGUUUUGUGUAUAUGGGACAUCAUCCAAAGCCAAUGAAGUUAAUGGGCUUUCUUCGGAUUUGGCCCAAAAACACUUGGAAAAAUCAGCGUUGUGUCCAAACUGCCUCUCUAAAUCAAGCACUUAGGUACUUAGCUCCUAUUGUUGGUGCAGCACAUCACCCAGGACACCCUGAUAUGCAGCUCUGUGGACCUGAUCUGUCUCCUAUGGGACUGAGGACAACAUGUGAAGGGGAAAGAGAGAGCUUGCAUGUUGCUACAAUCUGUGUCUUUUGUGUUGUGUGAGGGCUGGCUGCUCGGUGAUGCUCUCCUGAUGAAUUUUGUGACUCCUUCUUGAGUUGGGGAGAUCUGGGGAGAAGGAUGAGUGCCUGAUCAGAUCCUGUACUUUGCCCAAAGCAAAACAGUUAGAGUCAGCAAAAAUCUCUCCUACUUAAAGCGCUGUGCCAGCAGUGAAGGGAUUCUACAUGUGUGGCUGAGCCAGGGCAGGAGCCACACUGGAGCCAAACACUGGAUUAAUCCUGCCUUUUAACAGAACCUGGAGCGCAGUCCUGCUCUCAGGAAAUGGCAGUUCUGUCACCUGUACAUGUCUCGCUCUGCGUUAGCUUCACCUUCCCUUCAGCAUCGCUGGCCUUCACUCACUGGCCUUCACACACAUCCCUGAGUAUUAUUAAAAUCCUUGAGACCUCGCUGAUUUCUAGCUCACCAAGGGUUUUCUUUCUCUGGAGUGUGGUAAAACUAUACAUCUCCUUGAGAUAAUCAGAAACACAUGGAAAAAUAUUAAAAUGUUGCAUAAGGAGAAAAAGAAUGAAUUUCUUUCUUUCCAGCUACUCUUUUGCUGGAGACUUUUUACUUCAGGAAAAAAGAAAUUGUUGUCAGGGCUUUGGAAACUACAUCCUUUUUUCCACCCUGAUGGUCUUUUGCCUGUUUUACCUAGACCUCUAGGUUGGGCGUGUUGCUACAGCUCAGGACAGUGCAUGAGGACCUAAUGGGUCUUUUUUAAAGAAGUUGAAAGCAUUCCAGCAGAAGUAGCUGUUCACAUAUGUCUUGGACAGGAUGUAUUUCCCCAUCUCUCCUGGGAAAAUGAAAGCAGAAUCCCAGGGCAGCCUUCAUCACAAACUGCUGCAUUUGGGAGGUGGCUCUGUCGGGGUAUGAGCCAGCCCAGGAGAUGCAGUUGCUGGAAAAGCCAGAAAACCUGCACACAGCAAGAGGUCCUGCAUGAGUGGCACACAUAUGCAGCAAUGGGGCUAGAACAUGGCCCACAGUUGGGCUGUCCAAAUGUUGGCAGCACGGAAUCCCCGUGACUUCAGUGUUCAUGCACACCAACGCCAAAAUCUGUGCGGUCACAGUGCAUUUACCACACCACUAAAUCACAGUGAUGGGAUUUUAUGUGGGGAGAGAGGCAAGCAUCAUCCACGUUCCCAGUCACAGAGCCCUUAAAACAGCCUGCUUGUACUCUUAGUAGAUUAUCUUGUGAACCAAAACCAAGAAUGAAUAUACUAAUUUUUGUGCUCUCACUUGGUAGAAGGUAAACUACCUGGGACAAGUCCUGUGGCCAGACCCUCCAGCAGCAUGGCGAGUUAUGGUACAAGCAGGGUGAUACCAGCAUGUCUCCUUAUAGCAGAUUCUUCUUCAGUGCAGCAGCAGCAACAGCAUGUCUUCCCACACGCAGCUCCUGCCCCUUGCCUCACCAUCCUGCUCUGCUGUCCUUGCGCAACACCUCCAGCCAGACCAAUUACACUUACCUUAAUGCAUGUGUUUUACAGCAACCUGCAAAGCAAUUAUUUGAUCUCAGUUUAGACCUUUAGUUGCUACUAUAAUACACGUGAUAAUAUAAAAACAAACACAGAAAGAAGUAGCAUGUGUCUGCAGCACCGGCAGCAGCAGCACAGAUAACUGUUUCCUCGCACCUACACACACUCCAAUGCUAGAAUUGCAUUUUCAGCAAAGGUCACCAUCAUGGAGAUAGUAGGUCCUGCUUUGCUGCACUGUAACUCAGUUUUCAUCCCAUUUCAUUUCAGAAGAUUCCACUGUACAUUUAUUUAUCAGCUCGCACACUCAGAAUUGAUCAGGAACGGCUGCAUUUGUUCCAGACUUGAACUGGAAUAAGUUAUAUCAAAAUUGUUUAAUGCCACUUAGAGUCCAGCAUCAGUGUGCAGCCCUAGGAAAUGCACCUAUAACCGCUGCAAGAACGUGAAUGCGUGCUGAAGGGUAGCGCGUAUGCUCAGAGAUGGCUCUACAAAUAAAGGAAACUUCUGUUUAACCACGACUGUGGGAUUUUUAGGAUCACUUGCUUUUGCAGAGGCAGUUAAAUAGAUCCUGACAUAGAGUACCAAGGAAGGAAAUGUACGUGUUUAUUUUGGAGUGUUUGGGUCACUGGAUAGAAAGCUUAUAGGAAAAUGGAAAACAUGCAGCAGUAAUUCAUUUCUAAAGGGAAGGGGGAGAAAAGUCAAGGAAAUUCCCUCGCAGUCUGCUUGGAGCCAGGUUUUCAGCUGGUGUAAAUCUGCAGUCUAGGUUAAAAUUAUUGGAAGCAGUUCAUGUCCUGCAUCAAUAGAAAACAAUCCUGCACUGACGGGUUCCAUUGGUUGGUGCUUUGAGGCCCUAAGGAGGGUCAGCAUUGCAAAGCCCUGCUACGGGCCAGUGUCCUGCACCAGGGUAAGGCCAGGGUAUCACCCUAGGGUCAGAUCCAGGUCAGAUCUGUGGCAAUGCUGUAGAGCCAGGGAGCAGCACCAGUCCCUUGCUAUGUGCUACUGAGUGUGAGCCUCUUUCUCUCCUCCCACCACCCUGGUGAGUCUCUCCCAGAUGGCAUUAAAAUAAUAUUUGAGCUUUGCAACAACGAUGCCAGUUCAUUUGGCCUUAGAUACCAAUUCUCAACAUCUUUGGAGGUAGAAAGCAUAUUCCUCACGACCUCCUCAAUAUGUUUACAUCAUCAACUGUUACCUUUUUUAUUACACAUCAUUGAAUUUGAUGCACUGAGACUUUAACACAGGUUGUCCCUUCCCUCUAGGAAUUUCACAAAUAAAUCACUGACACGCAGUGCAAAUUGUCAGACACACUAUACAGUAGACACACUAUAUAGUCAUGGACACGCUAUACAGUAGAAAGGCACCGGAUAACCUUUAGCACUAGAAUGCUAUUUUUAAGUGCUUCAAUGAAGAGCACUAUUGUUGUUUGAAAAUGUAUUGCUAUGGUGAAAGGAGUUAAUGACUUGCAAAUGAUGUAUCACACCCUGAUGAAUUUCUUCACAGAAAAGUUAAAAAUCCCAAGCAGUAACCACGCACACAAAAUUGUUAAGGACACUGUAGGUUGAAGCUCUCCUAUUUGCCUGUGAAUUUAAUUCCCUUUGUGUAAUGAAGCAGCAAUAUAAAAGCUGGGCAUAAUGAUCCAGGCACUUUUCCACACCACGGGGUCAGCCCCGGGGAAGGGUUUCUCGCAGUCAAAGGCUGGGAUGGAGGCAAAAAAAAAAGGUGUUGGAUGUACCUGAGCAGCUGCUCUGGGUUUGGGGAGCACCCUGAAAAGAAAGGAUGCCAAAGCAUUGGUUUCUUGGGGCAAGUGAUGUUUGUGCAAAGGAGAAUUGACUGCAUGCUGUUUAUAGCCACCCUUGUGGUAAUCAGCAAGUGUCUGUGCGUACUUUAAAUAGACUCAUUACCCUAAGGAAAUACCCAAGUCAGCACCUCUGUAUCCUGCUCUCAGAGAGGAAACCCGACCUACAAAGCAUCAAAAUUUGCUGCUGCUUGGUGAAGGGGCCAAAAUACUUCAGCUAAGGCUGCUGCUUGCUUUUCUUGGAGAGAUGUGGCCAUCGCACUCAGCUCUGCUCUCACAAGUGUUGGUUUUCCAGUGGGGUGAUUGCAGUUACUUAGAGGAAUUGCUCCAUAACCACAUGAGGAGCAAUGAGAGAAGAAGCCAGCUUCAAGCACCCGCUUCCUAAGAAAAGCAAGGAUAUGAUCGAGUAAUUGAUUAGAUUCUACCUUACUCAUUUUUCUUCUCACUGAUUUCUGUUGAAAAUAUAUAUCUCCAAAUAUUUAUCCCACAAAGUUAGUGCUCUUUUGUCUAAUACUCAACUUUUACCCCACGGAUCGUUUAAAACUGGACAAGACAAACCACCAGAGACUGUGUUGAAAAACAAAAUGAAGACAAAGCAAAUGAAGAAAAAGCAAAAUGAAGACAAAGUUACAGCUGAUCAGGAAAACAGACAAGACAGUCUCUCCCCUUUCUCAUUUCUCCCCCCCUUUCUCACUGCCUACAGCAGUCAGUUUUGCACUGGAGAUUUUAAACUGCCAUGGUGCUCGGGACAGUAAUUCUAAAAAGAGCUUCACUGAAAUACUUCUCUCUAAAGAGGUCCUCAUAACCAGGUGACGCCUGGAAAAAUGUGACUUCCAAAAUAGUAUUUAAGUACAUAUAUAGAAGAGAGAAGGGGAAAAAAGGGGGAAAAAAAAGCCACUGAAAAGGCAUUUUGGACUGUAGCAAUGGACAUAUCCAUCAACACUGCAUUGUGUUAUCUCAGUGUAGUCAGGAACCUAACAGUUAUGAACAAGAAGCAGACAGGUCAGUAUACCAGAUAUUUCAUACAGUGGCUUACAUCAGAAUCUAGUUGUAUAAACUAACAUAAAGAUACUGAAGUCAAUGAAGCUACUCAGGAAUGAUCCUAUUAUAGGUGAGAUCAGAAGUAACUGUAGUAGUGUAUUAUUUGUUAAAACUUCAUUAAAAUCAGAUUCAGUGGGAGGAAUGGUUUUUUCUUCCCUAACACUUAUCCUUUAUUACUUGUCAGAUAUUAUCCAGACUUACCUGAAAAAUCUGCCAUUUAUAAAAAUGUAUUUUUUGGAGGCAAUGCAAUAAAUAUGCCAAUUCAGUUUCCCAGGGAAACAAAUACACUUAAAAGUUUUUUGUAAGAGUAAGUCCAGGGAAAUCAGCUUUACAGACAUACGCUUCAGGCCCUCAAAUGUUAAAGUGAGAAUUCCUUACAUUUCCCUCCUCCCGUAAAUCGCAUCUCUACCCCAAAUUUGCCUUUUGUAUUGUUAAUUCACAAUCUCAGUUUUCAAAGGCAUCUGAGUGACCCCCUGUGCUUAGCUGACAUCCCACUUCAUUCAUGUAGCCCCAAGUCAGAGAGAUACGCAUUUCUGGAGCAGCUCCUUGUCAGUGGACCUUCCCCAGAUAGGUCAAAGGGUGAAAAGUGUCAUUGUUAAGAAGCAAACGUGAAUCACUGGGUUUGUCGCCCUGUCAGCUUUUGAUUUGCUGCAUUCACACUCACAUGCGGCAUGAGGACUGAGCAUGACUGAGCUGUGGCCAAACCACCCUUCUGGCCUUGUCUUAAGUCUGUCCAGAUGGCAGGCAUGCCUGCUCCUCACAGAGGCAAGAUCUCGCUUCAGUGAGAGGCCAGGGCUUCUCCUGCUGAGCUCUGAAAUCUGCGGCAGCCAGUAUUGCCAAUUGUGGAGAUGGAAGCAUGUGCUUACUGAUAAAGAUGCUCCCAAUCUUCUUGCUUCUGCAGGAAGGCUGAACCAUCCCAGGAGUGGGGACCAAUGUGGCACUUGCCCCCAGGCCCAACUUGUGAGGAGACAGUCCGCCCCAUGGGUAUGCUUAGGAAAUGCUAUCACAUGCAGUUUGCAUCCAUCUGGAUGCAAGCAGUGUCAGAACUGGAGAACAGAGAGUUGCCCUACGCUGUGUAGAUGCAGCACACAUGUUUCUGACAUGACACUGUGCAUGCUUCUGCUUGAUUUGGCCUGACUGGAAGAUAUAGUCUAUGGCAAGUGAUUUUUAAAGAGCAGAGACUGCACAGCUUUACAGAAGACAUAACUAAAGAGUUAAUGAAAUCCUCAAAAGUCUUCUUUUUCUUGUUGGAACUACCCCACUCCUGACUGGCACGGGCUUUCUCCCACCUACUGCAGGCACCGUAGAUGUGUUUGUAAGCCUUAUUCACUACAGCUGAGAAGUCACACAUGAUGAGUGCUCCUAAGCACACUGCCAGCACAGAAUUCUGAGAUUCUCUAUGGCUUUGUUUAAGUUCCCAAAUUAUGUUUUAAAAGGCUAGAUAAUUUUGGUGGCGUUCUCCAUGUGAUUUUUUGUGGACGGGGAGUGGCUACUCACAUUCACAGAUCAGCCCCAAAGUGACAAUCUAAAUUCAUUUAUACUAUCUCUUCCCAGUAGGUCCUGUGUGCAGGUUAGCAGCCCUCUAUAGCCAGUAAUCCUGUAAGCCACUGAUAAGCACAAGCAACGUGAACCCCAUGGUUUGACCUCCCUGCUUUUGCAGAGGGAGGCCAGCCUGAGCCCUCACACAGCAUAGAACAAAGCUUGCCCAGGUGCUUCUGCAGCAGGCUCAGAGCUCAUCUGUGAAGUUUUCCAUGCCUGUAAAAGCAUCACCUACUAGCGAUGCUAAAUCUUUCUUCAUGUCAUGUAUCGACUUAAGCUUUGCGGCACAAAAGGAUAAAGAUGCUGAGGCAAAUAUGUCUCUGCAGGAGAUGUAAUUCUGCUCUUUCCACAGCAUGCUUGCCAGGGAGGGCUCACCUGCCACCACUGCUGCUGAUGCAAGGGGCAUGAGAAGAGCGAUCUACUUAACCAGGGCACAUGGAUGGGGCAAGGGGGAGAGUGAAAGCCUGAUGAUGUGAAAGAGUCCCAUCAGGGCACCCUCGGUAGGAAGUGCAAAUGGAGCCGAGUUUUCUGCAGUUCUCAUGAGGCAGCAGCAUUUCAGCAGGCAGAGCUGGAGGAGUCAAGCAGGCAGAGUCAGUGCACAAUUAGGGAGAGGUGGGUGCUUCUAGGGUGCGUCCAGAGGAAGGGCUUUGGAAGGAGCAGAGUGUGCUGGUGGGAAAUGGGCUUUGGAUGGAUAGUGGGGAUGCUUGGAGACCAAAGUUGUAUUCGCAUGGGUUAAACAGAAAUUUCCAAUAAGUCACCAAGAAUUAAUUAAUGCUAUUAUCCUAUGGAUUAUCUUUAGCUUCCGUAUCUUCAUUUGUAGUGUUAGAAAUACGGUAGAUCAGUUCACAAUUCUGUGCUAACUGCUUGUGGGGCUCACAACCGAUUUCAAAGGACAUGCUGCAGCAGGACCCAGGAGCGGCUGCAGGGGUGCUGGGGCUCCCCAGGAGCUGCUACGGCCACGUACCCAUGCACAAAGCAACUCAUUAAUAAAUUCAUUGGCUUCUGAACUGAGAGUUGAACGUGAGCCAGAAUAGCACAUGGAGCAUAUGAGGUACGGUAAGAACAGCUUUACGUGCUGGCAAACCUCCACCAUGUUGAUUUGCCCUCCAGGAGCCCCAGAGACCUAGAGAGUUUAAUCUUUGUCCCAUGGGGCUAGGGUUUUAUUUGAAAAAAAAAAAAAAAAAGUAAUAAUAUGAACUCCUGAGCAACAAGUUAAAUGCUGCUGGUGCUGCAAUUGCUCGGGAGUCCACUUAUUCACCACUGUUUUUGGCAACAUCAUCACGACUUAGUUUUCAUUAUCUCUCUUAAAGCAUGGAAGACCUUUGGAGAAAAUAAAUGAAUGAUAAGUUGCCUUGAGUUGUUUUUAGGUCACAGAGCUUUAUCUUUUAACAGUGUGAGUUAUUACCUAUUUUUAAAAAGCAUUCAUUUUUAUACCUGGCUUUUAUACACAGCAUUUCAAGAGUUGGGAGGGAAAAGGGAGAACAACAGACAUUUUAUACUGAAAUAUAGAGGAAUUAUGUGAAUCUUGGCUUAAGGACGUUCGAGUUAAUUUCUACUUAGACGAUAAAUCUAUUUUUCAUGGAUUUGUAACUUGGCUAUAAAAGCAUGCUUGAAGACUUGGAUUUUGGCAGCUAAAGAUUUCAGGUCAGGAGAAUAUUUUUAGCAAUAUUUUAUUUAAAAAAAACACACAGAAGGUUGUUUUUAAGUUUAGAAAGUUAAAGAGAGAGUUUAAGAAAGCAUGGGUUGGGUCACAUUUUGACACCCAUGUUUUGUUGUUUUUUUUCUCUUACAGAAAAAGAGCAAAAUCUCCAUCCAAUCUGCUUCUAGCUUGACAGAUAAUGAAAAACAUUUCAGAUUUAUCCUUUCCAAAUUGCCCAUAGCCCUAUUUCAUAUUCAAGACUAAAGAAUCCGUCUCAGCUAAUAAUUCUUAAACAUUGAAUUCAAAGUACCAUUGUGAAAAUUAAUGGAUAUGUUAAAUGAGCAGAUAUUCAGCUCGUAUACAAUUCAUUGUAAAUUCUGGAAUGGCAACAAAACUACAUCAAUUAGGACAGAAGUUGUGGAUAGUAAAUGUAUAUUACACUAUCUCCCUCAAAACACAUGACUAAUCUAAUAAUACUGAAGUAGUAAAGCAAUCAAAUAAAUUAAUACAUCAGGAGGAAUGAAGAACCAAUGACAGGACACCAGUGAACUCAGCAUGCCACGUACAAAAGGCAUUAGGACAGCUUUGGUUAAGCAUACCAGGGCAAACACUUUGCCACAGAAUCUUUGGUUUUACAGUUUCAUUUAACCUCAAAAUUACAGAUGGGUUGAGUAAUCCUGCCAGGAUUUGAAUUAGUGGUUCCAGGGAGACUAGAAGCUAAGCUGCAGGUAGAACUAAGGAGAGUGGUCAGAAAAGGUGUGGAGCAGGCAGAGCAAACAGGAACGUCCAUUUCUGGACCUUAACUUACACCCUCUUGUUUGCUCCUCCUGCACAAUCACCUUUCUGUUACUGAGAGUCCCUUUAACAAAGUGGGUCAAAUUCAGCUCUGCCUCCUAGCACUAACCUCUUUGUGUUGUACCUGCAGGCAAAGGGCUGUCAUAAAGGAGGAGCUGGCAAUAUCUUGACACCAAGAGCAAUUCAACUGUGGUGUUAUUGAUGUAAAGAUGGUUCAUACCACUUGCUCCCAGUGUAGGCCAGGAACUGCUUGGAUCAGUUCUGAGGUACUUCUUGCAACAGAACCACCCAUAUGAGACAAAUUAAUCCCAGCCCCACAAAGUUCUAAGGGAAAGGAAAAGUUGUCUCUAUUUACCUCUUGCAACAGGUUCUACAUUCAACUCAGCUUCUUUGAGCUGAAGAUCUAGCUAGCUAAGGUGGGCAAAUCAGCAGUUAAGUGCAAUUCUCAUUGCAAAACUCGUUCAUGCACUCCAGAGGUUGCUUUUUUGUUGAUCUUCAGGUAUUUUACAACCAGCAGUGACUUCUGUAGGCCCAACUGCUGCCAUUAACUUCAGCUGUCAUAACUGAAUCAUUUAUUAUCCUUGAAUAAAUGUCACUUACAAAUUUGCUCUGUAGUAAGUCUCUUUUCUUCAUAUCAAUAAGUCCACUGAAUACUUGGAUCAGAUUACUAAGGUCUAUUGAGAAUGCUAUUUCACAUGAAGGCUGUACCAAACCAACAGCUAAAAGAGGAAAGUCUUAGUCGCUGCUCCUCCACCCCUGCUCCUUCCACCCUCAUCCUCCCUUGCUCUCACUUCUCUGGCUCUUUCUCCUGGGUCUGGGUUCCCCCCUCUGUACUGACACACCCUACUAAUGAUUUCUGCACAUCAGCCCUUCCAAGCACACAUCCUUUGCACAGUAUGUCACAUAGCACACCUCCCAUUCAGAACAACAGGCCCUUUCUUCCAGCUUCUGUCUGGUGAAACAUCUUAGUCCAUACACCUAGCCACAGCCCAAAAUAGAGUAAGGAGGGGGAUGGCUGGGCCAGGUUUGGGCUCUGUUUUAGUAGGCUGUGUUUCACGUACGACAAAGCUGUGGAAAGCAUUUAGGGUAUUUGCAGCCUGCUAGCAGUUAGCAAGGUAGCUACCCUUAAGGAGGUUGAUACAUGCAUUCAACUUAAGGCAGAAGGUAUGAUUCUGCUAACAUCAUUUAGGCGGAGAAUUUCACCACUCAGCUAUUUCUGUGAGCCUCUGCAGUACCACUGGAGUGUUUUUGAGACUGAGCCUAGGUAUUAUACAGUCCCUCUAGCUGUAGCAGUAGAGCACCUCCCAAGUAUUUAAAAAUAGAAGUCACAGUAACAAUCUCCCUUUCUUAUUUGGCAGCCAGGAGGAGAAACACUUGGUGUAACUUAUAC